rnacentral:rRNA from 1 species
GAUGAACGCUGGCGGCGUGCCUAAUACAUGCAAGUCGAGCGAACAGAUAAGGAGCUUGCUCCUUUGACGUUAGCGGCGGACGGGUGAGUAACACGUGGGCAACCUACCUAUAAGACUGGAAUAACUCCGGGAAACCGGGGCUAAUGCCGGAUAACAUAUAGAACCGCAUGGUUCUAUAGUGAAAGAUGGUUUUGCUAUCACUUAUAGAUGGACCCGCGCCGUAUUAGCUAGUUGGUAAGGUAACGGCUUACCAAGGCGACGAUACGUAGCCGACCUGAGAGGGUGAUCGGCCACACUGGAACUGAGACACGGUCCAGACUCCUACGGGAGGCAGCAGUAGGGAAUCUUCCGCAAUGGGCGAAAGCCUGACGGAGCAACGCCGCGUGAGUGAUGAAGGGUUUCGGCUCGUAAAACUCUGUUAUUAGGGAAGAACAUAUGUGUAAGUAACUGUGCACAUCUUGACGGUACCUAAUCAGAAAGCCACGGCUAACUACGUGCCAGCAGCCGCGGUAAUACGUAGGUGGCAAGCGUUAUCCGGAAUUAUUGGGCGUAAAGCGCGCGUAGGCGGUUUCUUAAGUCUGAUGUGAAAGCCCACGGCUCAACCGUGGAGGGUCAUUGGAAACUGGGAAACUUGAGUGCAGAAGAGGAAAGUGGAAUUCCAUGUGUAGCGUGAAAUGCGCAGAGAUAUGGAGGAACACCAGUGGCGAAGCGACUUUCUGGUCUGUAACUGACGCUGAUGUGCGAAAGC